rnacentral:rRNA from 1 species
GAGUUUGAUCAUGGCUCAGGAUGAACGCUGACAGAAUGCUUAACACAUGCAAGUCAACUUGAACGUGGGUUUUUAACUUAGGUUUGGGUGGCGGACGGGUGAGUAACGCGUAAAGAACUUGCCUCACAGAUAGGGACAACAUUUAGAAAUGAAUGCUAAUACCUAAUAUUAUGAAAAUAGGGCAUCCUAUAAUUAUGAAAGCUAAAUGCGCUGUGAGAGAGCUUUGCGUCCCAUUAGCUAGUUGGAGAGGUAACGGCUCACCAAGGCGAUGAUGGGUAGCCGGCCUGAGAGGGUGAGCGGCCACAAGGGGACUGAGACACGGCCCUUACUCCUACGGGAGGCAGCAGUGGGGAAUAUUGGACAAUGGACCAAAAGUCUGAUCCAGCAAUUCUGUGUGCACGAUGAAGUUUUUCGGAAUGUAAAGUGCUUUCAGUUGGGAAGAAAA